AUUGAACGCUGGCGGCAUGCCUUACACAUGCAAGUCGAACGGUAGCAGGUCUUCGGAUGCUGACGAGUGGCGAACGGGUGAGUAAUGCAUCGGAACGUGCCCAGUAGUGGGGGAUAGCCCGGCGAAAGCCGGAUUAAUACCGCAUACGACCUGAGGGUGAAAGGGGGGGAUCGCAAGACCUCUCGCUAUUGGAGCGGCCGAUGUCAGAUUAGCUAGUUGGUGGGGUAAAGGCCGACCAAGGCAACGAUCUGUAGUUGGUCUGAGAGGACGACCAGCCACACUGGGACUGAGACACGGCCCAGACUCCUACGGGAGGCAGCAGUGGGGAAUUUUGGACAAUGGGCGCAAGCCUGAUCCAGCAAUGCCGCGUGCAGGAAGAAGGCCUUCGGGUUGUAAACUGCUUUUGUCAGGGAAGAAAUCUUCUGGGUUAAUACCUCGGGAGGAUGACGGUACCUGAAGAAUAAGCACCGGCUAACUACGUGCCAGCAGCCGCGGUAAUAC
rnacentral:rRNA from 1 species